AGCCCUGGUUCAGCUGUAGUCUUUGGUAAUGGACCCAAACCGUGUCCGCUUCCCUGGUUCAGCUGUAGUCUUUGGGAAUGGACCCAAACCCUGUCCACUGCAGAGCCCUGGUUCAGCUGUAGUCUUUGGGAAUGGACCCAAACCCUGUCCGCUGCAGAACCCUUGGUGUGAUCAGCAGCUCACUGACACCAUUCAGCUCAGCUGCAGAGGGUGGGAACCAACACCAUGGCCUGUUCUUCCCAGUCAGAACUAGGAUGAAGUUCUGAUCUGGUUUCCAGUGCUGGGAAAGACUCAAUUCAGUCAAACGAAAGACUUUUCAUCACCUCUGCUCUCCUGCUGGAUCUUCUUCGAGUGAAUGCCUCCUCACCACGGACUUCCUUACUGGUGCACACCAUUCCGCACCGGUUUCAUUUGGGAUGUUGGGGAGGACUCAGGCUACAGCCCUUUGAUAUGCUGUGAUUGUCUCAGAUGCUAAUGCUAAUGCAAGAGAAAUAUUUUUGCAACGUUUUGUUCAGUCCAGGCGUUAGGCUUCUGUGUGAGUGUGAUAUAAUUGUUGUUCAUAUUACACCUAGUAAAAUAAAUGCAUACAUUUGUAGGAGACUUUGUGAAUGUUUUACUUUACAUUUUAGGUUACAUUGUAGCUCAUUGUAAUUAUCUGCCACUAAAAAAAUAAAAUGUUAUAGAGAAUUCAAAUGUUCAAAAUCUUAAUCACAUUUUACACUGAAAUUAGUUUUACUUCUAAGAUAUGCGUUGAGAUUGUUUUCCGUACUUGUUAAAGACAUUUCAGCCAAGGCAUGUACUUCAUUGUAGAUUUGGAGUUGUCAGUGAAAUGAGUUUUUGUUGAUGAGAAUGAAUAUUGGCCUGGCUGGUUCUGUUACCCAUGGCAUGGGCACAUUUACGUUAUGAUAUCAUUCAACUUGUAUUUCACAGUGAACACUUAUCUACCAGCGCACCAAACAAAUAAACAUCUUUGAUCUUGUUUCACACGAUGCAUUCAUGCUGGGUGAUGACUCUUCUCAACCACACCAGUUUCUCAGUGUGUGUGAUCUUCUGGGAUCCUCUGCAUUUGGAUUGCAGUUUUCAGCCAUAUCAACAUUUUUGCUUCACUUUUAUUUUUCUAACUUUACACUUAUUCAGGUGUUACUUCAUCUCAUUUCAUAAUUCCUUAAUUAUUUAAAUAAAUGCUUUCAUUAGACUUCAUGCUACUCUACUAUGUGAGGCAGGUGUGUGUGACACUGGAUAUUUUAUUCUCAGAUGAUUUAAACAGAGAAGUCAAAGUCAUGAGUUAGAAUAAGACGGAAUGGGGUUUUGCAUUUUUAAUGUCCAAGAGUUCUGUUAAAGUUGAUUUUCUUUUACAGACAAAAAUGGACAGACAGACAGUGUCUACAAGCCUGGCUUGGCUGACCUGUACCUCAGAUUUUAAUACAAAAAUCUAAUAUGAACUAAACUAACAUUAAAUUACAUGAAACAGACUAUUUGCUAUGUGAUGUCAUGUUUUGUUCUGUUCCUAAUCAUCACCUAAAAUACCCUGAUGUGCUCUGACGUGAGAUUUCAAUCAGUGCAUUACACGUUGUGACCACCAGAGGCCCACGCAACCCGCAAAAAAGAUUCAGUUUGGAGUUAGCUGUGUGUUUCUGCUUUGUUAAUUACAGUCUUAGAGCUGAAGCUCAAUAUGUUUUGGAAAAAUAUUUCACAGAUUUUCUGUGUUCCUAGCCUAAGAUGCUCGAGUGAGUGAAUCAUUCUGGACUAAUGAGUAAUUCAGUUGCUGGCCGUGUGAUUAGAAUCUUCUCAAACAUACAUGAGCUUGGGCUUAAUGUGACUCAAUAUUAUGGAUAUUCCGGGUUGUGAAUGUGUGGCUGUGUCAUUUAAACUUUUUAAUAUAGGAAUAGUUGAUGGUUUGUGUGGACAAUAUUACUCCAUAAUAUGUAGUGCUUACCUUACAGGAGCAUUAUCUUUACUGUUACUAUUAUAAACUUUCUAUUAUUGUUAUUUUUAUGUUCUCAGAGUAUGGUUUUAUCUGCUCACCUAAUAUGUUCCUUCCAACUCUCAUCACCCACUGACUGUACAGGCCUCCGUAACUAAAGGACAGGCCAUGUCUAUCUUCUCCAUUGCCUUGCUACUUUUUCAGAGAAUAUCAGAAGGGUAUGAAUUCGUUUUUUUAUGUGAAUUCUUUAGAUCCAAAAUGAUGUUGGGUUUCGUACAGGGAUAGUUGCCCAAGGGCUUCCCCAUAUGUGAUGUGCUGGACAGAAUGGGCUUCAUAUCGCUUCUGUUAAUGUGUAUAUGGGUUGAACAUGUGUCUGCUAACAUUAUUCAACAACACACCUUGAUAUACAUUAAUACAUUUUUCCAUGAAGCAAAGGGAAUCAUAUACAUGACUAAGUGUUUAUAUACAAUUUCAAAUCAACAAAGGGCCUUUGCUUACAAAGUGGUAUUUAUCAUAACUUUACAACCUGUGCAUGAGGUGUCUCUGGGGAAAUACCCUGAAUACACUAAUUAUUUCUUUGGUUUGACAAAAUAAAACUGAAGUAUUUAAAUGUAAAAAGUGAAUUCAUCAUUUUACAAAAUGUGUAAAGGUGUUGAGAUCCCCAUCUCCAAGUGAGGUAUCUCCGGCUGGACCACAAGACCAUUCUCGUGUGCGGACUGAUCAUGCUGAUUUAGUAUGUUGGUUUAUCAUUCUCGUGUGCGGACUGAUCAUGCUGAUUUAGUAUGUUGAUUUACCAUUCUCGUGUGCGGACUGAUCAUGCUGAUUGAGUAUGUUGGUUUAUCAUUCUGUAGGUGUGACACCUGGGCUGAGUGUUGAGGUGAUAAAGUAAAGUUUUGGACGAGUUUUGUGCUGUCAGAAGAGCAGCAUGGUGUAUUCCUCUCCCGUUCUGAUGCUCCCUCUACCCUGAUCAGACAUGACAGCCGGGCUGGAGAGGAAGGGAAGAGGGGGAGAUGAGAGCUAUUGUGAUGACUAAGGAAAAUCAAUUGGGGUCAUUUUUUGAUCAGGGGUGUCUUGUCCAAUUAUCUAGAAAUACUCCUGCACCUGCACCUGAACCCGAAAGGCUGAACUAGUUGGUAAGAAUAUGUGUGUGUGUGUGUGUGUGUGUGUUUGCAUGCAUGAUACUUAUACUCACAAGAUACAUAUUCUCGUAAGAAACUAGUUAAAUUCAAAUUGAAAAAAACCCCCAAUAAAAAACAUUAACCGUGGACUAGUCUCCUAACCACAGAUCUUAAGGUGCAGCUCUCACUGAAUCCUCUGUAGAACUCUCCUGUGUUCAGUAUCUGUAUCAUCAGUCGGCAGGUUCGUCUCCCCUGUGUUCAGUAUCUCUUCCAUCAGUUGGCAGGUUCGUCUCCUCUGUGUUCAGUAUCUGUUCCAUCAGUCAGCAGGUUCGUCUCAUAGUCGUCCUCUUUUCCUCUGUGGAGGUACACCGUUCCAGGAUUGGUCAUUAUGUUGUUUUCAUGUCUCGCAGAUAACCAUGACAAUAUAACCUGGUUAUUUGAUGCUUUUAACGCAGAUCAGUUUUCUAACUUCAUGGGGGCAUAAACCAGAGGAGCCAGGAACACACCUUUGAGAAUUAAAUGUCUAGAUUUAGUAGCUCCUUACUGACCUGGGU
ensembl:lncRNA